rnacentral:rRNA from 1 species
GCCUACCAAGGCGACGAUCUGUAGCGGGUCUGAGAGGAUGAUCCGCCACACUGGAACUGAGACACGGUCCAGACUCCUACGGGAGGCAGCAGUGGGGAAUUUUGGACAAUGGGGGCAACCCUGAUCCAGCCAUGCCGCGUGAGUGAAGAAGGCCUUCGGGUUGUAAAGCUCUUUCAGCCGGGAAGAAAUCGUACAGGCUAAUACCCUGUGCGGAUGACGGUACCGGAAUAAGAAGCACCGGCUAACUACGUGCCAGCAGCCGCGGUAAUACGUAGGGUGCGAGCGUUAAUCGGAAUUACUGGGCGUAAAGCGUGCGCAGGCGGUUUUGUAAGACAGGCGUGAAAUCCCCGGGCUUAACCUGGGAACU